UUGGAGAUGGUUGAAUAAAAUAUAUGAUAGUUGGUAUAGAGUAUGAGAUAUAGAGUAACAUGGGUGCGGGAGAAAUUGGUAUAGAUUAGAGAAUCUCAAUGACUAGGAUAGAAUAUUCCUAAAAGUAUGAAAAUAGAGUAUGACGAGUGCGGACAGCCUUAGAGCAACUCUAAGAGGCUGCUAAUCUUACCCCCCAAUACCUUUUUUUAAGGAAAAAA
rnacentral:lncRNA from 1 species